CCUACGGGAGGCAGCAGUAGGGAAUAUUGCUCAAUGGGGGAAACCCUGAAGCAGCAACGCCGCGUGGAGGAUGAAGGUUUUCGGAUUCUAAACUCCUUUUGUUAGAGAGGAUAAUGACGGUAUCUAACGAGUAAGCACCGGCUAACUCCGUGCCAGCAGCGGCGGUAAUACGCAGGGUGCAAGCGUUACUCGGAAUCACUGGGCGUAAAGAGCGCGUAGGCGGGAUAGCAAGUCAGAUGUGAAAUCCUAUGGCUUAACCAUAGAACGGCUUUUGAAACUGUUAUUCUAGAGUAUGGGGGAGGUAGGUGGAAUGCGUGGUGUAGGGGUGAAAUCCGUAGAGAUCAAGCGGAAUACUCAUUGCGAAGGCGACCUGCUAGAACAUAACUGACGCUGAUGCGCGAAAGUGUGGGGAGCAAACAGGAUUAGAUACCCUUGUAGUC
rnacentral:rRNA from 1 species